CACUCAGUGGGGGGGGGGGGGCUGGCAUUUCAUCUCUAAAAGGUUCACCAUCACUGAUAUAUACGUAACUUAAGUCCUAAAGCCCACUGGUGUGGGACCCUCUCCUUUCAUGGUGAAGAUCAAUGCCCUGUGUCUGCUUUGAAGAAGAGAGCAUAGUUAGUGAGAGCAGGAGAAAAGACUCUCUUCAUUCACUUCUAGCUUUCUCGUCUCUUCAAAUCUUUUUAGACUCUUUAUAUUGCUUUGAGUCUCUUUAGGUUCUUUAGAAUCUGCAGUAGCUUCAGGCAUUUCAGAUUUGCAGCUUCCAGAGAAAAGAGAGAAGUUAUUAGUCCCCCUUCAGUUUGCUGAAGGGAAAGUAAGACUUUGAGCAAAACCUGGCAUGAGAGAAGCUGGCUGUCUCCACCAUGUUCCUGUCUCCAGUAUUCUAAGUUGUGGUUUAUCUCGACCAGGGGACUUUAGUUUAUCAAUGUGCAGCUUAAAGCCUUUUAAAUUUGAUUUGCAAGACACCAGGCAA